CGGUUGAUCCUGCCGGAGGUCACUGCUAUUGGGAUUCGACUAAGCCAUGCGAGUCGAGAGGGUUCGGCCCUCGGCUGACGGCUCAGUAACACGUGGAUAAUCUGCCCUUAGGUGGAGGAUAAUCUCGGGAAACUGAGGAUAAUACUCCAUAGAUCUAGGAUGCUGGAAUGCAUCUAGAUUGAAAGCUCCGGCGCCUAAGGAUGAGUCUGCGGACUAUCAGGUUGUAGUCAGGGUAAAGACCUGACUAGCCUACGACGGAUACGGGUUGUGAGAGCAAUAACCCGGAGACGAUAUCUGAGACACGAUAUCGGGCCCUACGGGGCGCAGCAGGCGCGAAAACUUCACACUGUGCGAAAGCGCGAUGAGGGAAUCCCAAGUGUUUGCUCGUAAGAGUAAACUGUUUCUUUGUUUAAAACGCAGAGAGAGUAAGGGCUGGGUAAGACGGGUGCCAGCCGCCGCGGUAAUACCUGCAGCUCGAGUGGUGAUCAUUAUUAUUGGGCCUAAAACGUCCGUAGCCGGUUUAGUAAAUGCCUGGGUAAAUCGUGUAGCUUAACUAUACGACUUCCGGGUAGACUGCUAAACUUGAGACCGGGAGAGGCUAGAGGUACUCCUGGGGUAGAGGUGAAAUUCUGUAAUCCUAGGGGGACCACCAGUGGCGAAGGCGUCUAGCUAGAACGGGUCUGACGGUGAGGGACGAAGCCCUGGGGCACAAACCGGAUUAGAUACCCGGGUAGUCCAGGGUGUAAACGCUGCUUGCUUGAUGUUAGUUGGGCUCCGAGCCCAACUAGUGUCGGAGAGAANUUGUUAAGCAAGCUGCCUGGGAAGUACGGNCGCANGGCUGAACUUAAAGGAAUUGGCGGGGGAGCAC
rnacentral:rRNA from 1 species